CUCCCGAGAACAGUCCUACUCGCGGGGGGAAGGGUCACCCUGUGCGCGCCUGGCCUGGCUGGUGUCCCCACGUUUCCUGUCCCGCUGCCCCACGGCAAUUUCCGGUUUGCCCAGAUAUCUCCCGGCGAUCUACCUGGCCUGCCCGGGCGGUGAGGACGCUGGGCGAGGACACGCCGGUCCUGGACUGGAUUUCCACCCGCCGGGAAACUAAGACGGCCCGCUGGAAAGCCCCGCGGCCGCCGCGGGGCCUGGGGCUCAGGGGUCUUAUUAAAGAGAGCCGAGCCGUGAGGACACGAUCAAGAUGCAUAAAGCCUUACGACCUCGGCGCUCAGUCCCGCCUCCGGAUCCAGCAUCUCCCUCGCUCACCUGUUUUGGAUGCCGUUUUGUUUUAAAAAAUGGAAGUAAGGGUGCUGAGGUUAUAGCUCAGUGGUGGAGCCCUUGUAACCGAAAGCUCGAUCCUUGUCCCCAAUGCCAGUUCAUGCCAACUUAAUAACUUAAUAAUAAGGACACGGUUCUAAGUUGAAGGACUUUUUUUUAAAUUGUUUUGCUGGCAAAGGAGAAACAGGGGACUCCUGUCCCUGUGAUUCUGCCCAUUAGGGAAAGCAGGGCUUUUAAAAAGCUAUUCAAAGGCUACAGUCCAGGUGUGCCCUGAAGGGGGUUCCCAGGGCGCCCUGAGGGUAUGUUAGGAUUCAUUUGUUAAUUUGGGAGAUAGUCACUUCCUAGAUCCUCAGGCAGACAUCUCCUUCCUGUGGAGCCUGGAUAACUCCAGGUGAUCUUGUUUCCCCGCCCCCAGGUUAGGUGGGAGAGAGGGAGAAGAGGAAGGGAAAAACAUGAACUUUUAAAAAUAAGUCUCAAGGAGCUGGGGCUGGGGCUCAGUGAUAGAGCGCUUGCCUAGCAUGUGCAAGGCACUGGAUCGAAUCUCAGCACAAUAAAUAAAUGAAUAAAGAUUCAUCAACAUCUAACAAAUUUUUUUUAAUUUUUUUUCAGUUAUAGUUGAACACAGUGCCUUUAUUUUGUUUAUUUUUAUGUGGUGCCGAGAAUCAAACCCAGUGCCUCACACAUGCUAGGCAAAUGCUCUACCACUGAGCCACAACCUCAACCCCUAACAAAAAUUUUUUAAAAAUAAACAAAUAAGCCUCAAGCCUGGCGAGGUGGCGAACGCCUGUAAUCCCAGUGGCUCUCGAGGUAGAGGCAGGAGAAUCGCGAGUUCAAAGCCAGCACUCUGUAACAGUGAGGCACUUCUCAGCUCAGUGAGACCCUGUCGAUAAAUAAAAAAAUACAAAGUAGGCCUGAGGAUAUGGCUUAAUGGUGGAAUGCCCCUGAGUUCAAUUCCCAGCACAAGAAGAAGAAGCAGCAGCAGCCCCAAAGCAAGGAGGGCUAUAUCAAAAGGUAAAGUGACUGUUACAUGUUUGCCAAGCAUGCAUGAGAUCUGGGUUUCAGUCCCAGCACAAUGCAUAGGAGGUAUGACCUGGGUCCCUGCAUGUUAAGUGUGUGUGUUUGUCUGUGUGACAUACAUGUUAAAGAUCUUUCAGUAUAAAAGAACAUAGAAAGAUCAUAGCACACCUGUGAUCCCCAGUUACUUGGGAGACUGGGGCAGGAAGAUCACAAGUUCAAGGCCAGCCUGGGCAACUUUUCGAGACCCUAUCUCAAAAUAAAAAUUUAAAAAAGGUAUAGAGGUGUAUCUCAGUGUUAGAGGGCUUUUCUAGUAUACACAAAGUUCUAGAUUUGAUUCCGAGCACUGCAAAAAAAAAAAAAAAGUCUCACUCCGGUUUGGAUGCUGGUCCUUUGGGGUGGAAGUUAGGAUAAAUUAAGUUACUUUCCAUUAGAGGUGGGUGCAUUUCUAGGAAACCAGGACAUGUCAUCAUCCCAAAAUACACUUUGCUGCUGUAAAGUUUCAGGCUGUACUUCCUCACACAUCAGCCAAGAUACUGAAAUAGGAGGGGAUGGAGGACAUUCUGACGGGCUCAGCACUAGAGGAACUUCAUAGAAGGUGCCUCCUGGGAGUAAAUGGCAGGGGUGCACACGCACCUACCCUGAUGUCCUUUUCAGCUGAUGUCCUCAGCCUUUCAACUCUGUGUGCCCUCUCCCCACCCCAGCCUUAAGAAGCCCUCCUCUGCAUGCCCUGGUGUCUUUCUUUAAUACAAAUUUCUUUUCUGUUUUUUUUAAUUAAAUGGCUGUGAAAAAAAAUGUAGAGUUUUUUUUGUUGUUGUUGUUGUUUGUUUUUUUGCUUUCUUUGUACUGGAGGUUGAACCCACAGGUGCUUUAGUGCUUUACCACUGAGCCACAUCUCCAGCCCUUUUUAUUUUUGUUUUGAGACAGGGUCUCACUAGGUUGCUGAAGCCUUCACUAAGUUACAGAAGCUGGCCUUUUGUUCCUCCUGCCUCAGGCUCUUGAAUUGCUGGAAUUAACAGCAACUCUAGGCUCCUAAUUGGGAAGCAGUGAAGUCCUUUUCAGGAGAGACCCCUGGCCUUCCUAAGUGACCUCAACUCUCCUUGAUUCUUCUUGUUAUUCUUCCUCACCCUCCAGCAGCCAGGAUGGGGCUCUUCCUGCAGGAAGUGCCAAAGUUGUGAUGUUAAAAAAAAAAAAAAACAAGGAUUCUUGGCUACUGAGUGCUCCCUUGGAAGUGCUCUGUCCAAACUAAUAUGUGCCCCAAGUGUAAGAUGCAACCUGGAUUUCAAAGACUUUGCAUGAAAAAAAAGAAUGUGAAACAUGUCAGUAAUAAUUUUUUUGUAUGGAUCAUAUUUUGAAAUGAUGACAUUUUGAAUCUAAUGAGUUAAAUAAACUUUAUUAUUAAAAUUAA